GAUCUUUGUUAAGCAAGUGGGUGAAAGGUUAUUAAGUAUCGUCGGGAAUGCACAUUCGAGGUUACAAUCAGAUUAGCAAGGAUCAUUAUUUAUUGGUGGAGUAGGCUCAUAUGAUGAAUUUAAUUUCAGCACCUUGCCACUAAAUCAGCUAAACCAACAAUGAGCUAAUUGUUAUUGAAAGUGCUUUCAAGCAAUUGUCUUUCAGUAUUUCAGAUGAGAUGUAACUGAACGUGAAUUAAUGAGCCAUGUGCCUACUAAAGUGUAAUCGGCAUAUUUUCAGCUAAAAGAAAACACAGGCUGUUAAUUUCACAAAAAUGCUCAAAACACAAAAUGUAGCUUGUGGCUUGGUUUUAUACAAUUAAGCUUGGUAUAUUUCAUUUCUCCCAGAAAGUUUCAAGAUACUCUUUUUUUAAAGUAUUUAAAGGUACUCUUUUUUUAAAUCAUAAGUGAGAAAGAGCAAAUGGAUUCUACUUUGAAUUCAUUUAUUUUCUGAUAGCAGUAAAGAGAGUUCCGUGCUCAGAGGUACCAAUGGAAUAUUCCAGCACUUUUCAAACCAGUUUAUGAAAUCUUCUGAUCAGUGAUCCUGCAAAUGUGAGUUUAGUAUGUGCUGUGAUUAUUGGUGACUUUGACAUUUAAACCUCACUGAUGUUUUCUCAAAGGAUUACACAAAAAUACCUUCAAACUGCAUGACCUUGUGCGUACAUCAAAAAUGUUAACCUUAAGUUAAAAGCCUGCAGGUUUCCACCACAACUGCACACGUUAUGAAAAUGCAAAACUUCAUCUUUGGUAAUCACACUUUUAAACUGACAUGGCUGAAUAAUCUCCUGGUAUCUGCUGUUGUUCAUGUGUGCAUUAACAUUCUCUACAUAUUCUCUACUUUCAUAGGUUGUUCUAACAACCAAAACUGAGAAUGGACUUCCACCGUUACUGCACAAAUUGUCACACAUCACUAGGGUAGCAUGCUAGAAAUCAAACCCCACGUGAUUCCUGGAGUCGUCACAAAAGAUAAAGAUAUUAAAAUGUAGGCUGAAUUCCCCAAGGUGCAUGUCUUUAAGAGCCAGGUUGACAGAAACCACGGACCAGUGUCAGUAUAGUGAUAAACAGGGGGGAAGUCUGGGAAGGCAAUUUGUUGGUCCAGUCAUAGAGGGUUUGCUGAGAUGAUUCUUGUGCUGCUUCUUGGUCUUCUCCCUCUAGAUAUUUUCACUUAUUUGCAGGAUACAGAGUUUGACUGGUUCCUACCGAUAAAGGUCUUUGACUUAUCAAUUUAACAUCACAGCUUACAUCAACUGGAAAGAAGACAUCAACUGGCUAUCUUCAGUCUUCAAUCAAAAAAAGUGAAGGAUACCUCUUUACAAAAUGAAGUUCUCCCCGUAGAUGUCAUUGUGAUGCUUCCCAAUCUUCUCCAUGUGGAGACACAUCUUUGAUGAAUGAGUUAUUAUGAGAACUACUUGUCUUACCCUUUGUUUUAUUUAAAUUACUUGAAAAAUGUGAAGGCUUUGUGCUUUGAAGUAUUCUAGCUUGUGCAUGUUGAUGCAGAUUUCUUUUUGUUUUGGUCAAUGUCUCAUAAAUAAAGAAUGGAUGACACCUCAUAUUUGA